rnacentral:rRNA from 1 species
GGGGAAUCUUAGACAAUGGGCGCAAGCCUGAUCUAGCCAUGCCGCGUGUGUGAUGAAGGUCUUAGGAUCGUAAAGCACUUUCGCCAGGGAUGAUAAUGACAGUACCUGGUAAAGAAACCCCGGCUAACUCCGUGCCAGCAGCCGCGGUAAUACGGAGGGGGUUAGCGUUGUUCGGAAUUACUGGGCGUAAAGCGUACGUAGGCGGAUUGGAAAGUUGGGGGUGAAAUCCCAGGGCUCAACCCUGGAACUGCCUCCAAAACUAUCAGUCUAGAGUUCGAGAGAGGUGAGUGGAAUUCCAAGUGUAGAGGUGAAAUUCGUAGAUAUUUGGAGGAACACCAGUGGCGAAGGCGGCUCACUGGCUCGAUACUGACGCUGAGGUACGAAAGUGUGGGGAGCAAACAGG